CCCUCCAGCACUCUCCGCCUCUUCAUCGACCCCCUCGCCGUCUCCGAAGUCGAUGUCGUUUUGCACCGAUCUUUCUCCUGCUGGAGCCGAGUCGCCGGUGACCACUGGACCUCCAUCUUCGACUGGAAAGCGACCUAGAGACGAACUGGAAGGCGACGACAAUCAUGAAGACUACGGGAGCUGCGACCGAGAUUCGGUGCUCGAGACUCGAUCUGUACCUACAGCUUAUUCUUCCUCAUCGCGGAUUUCGUUCUCCUAUUCAUAAGAGGUCCCUAUCUCAAACUUUAUCUUCUCUCUCUCAUUCUCUUUCUCUGUCAACAUUUUUAGUAGCUCAGGCAGCAAGAAAGAGAUCUCCGCAAACCCCGAAAUCGAAGUAAGGUACUUCUCACAGCUAGGGUUUCCGUAUAUUCCACACCUCAGGCUUUGCUUUAGCUCUUAUACUAUGCUCUCAAUCUCUCUCCGAUUUGAUUAGCCUCGCUUGAUUUUGAGGUUGUGAGUUUUUGAGUUCAUAUUGUGGCUAUGUUGUUGUAGAUUCGGUACUGAUUUUUGUGUUGUAGUUCAUAUUGAAUACGUGGAUGGUUGGAAUUUUCUGUGAUUUGAAGUAGGUAUGACUUUUUUGUUUGGUUGGUGAAUUUUGUGGAAAGUUAAGGAGCAAUGUGGGUGGGAAAUUGAGGGGAGUUUGGUUUAGGGAUUGGAUUUGAGAGUUUGAGGUGUGCGAAAAUGCCGAGAGGGCGAAGGAGAACGAUACAUUUCAGUAAAUUGUACUCGUUUUCGUGUAUUCUGUCUUCUUUCGAAGAUGUUCAUGCCAAAAUUGGGGAUAGGGGGUACUCUAGGGUUGUGUACUGUAAUGAUCCUGAUAAUUCUGAGGCGCUGCAGUUGAUAUUCAUGGCACAUUAUAAUUAGUGCCAAAAACUUAGAGGGGAAAUUAGGUCUCAAGUUUAUAAUUUUUUGUGUAUUCAAGCUGUGCCGCAACAUUUGAUGUGUUGCAGGCUUUGGAUGCUUGAGAAAAUUUUGUUGUUAUAGUUCAUGUUUCGAUGGGUUGAUUUGUGAUAGGAAUAUGUUAUGUUAGUUUUGAUCUGUUCUUGCACUGCUAAUAGUUAAAGUGAGUUCGUUGAUAAAGCUUCCCAAAAGGCCAGCGGGACCAUUGUAUUUGUUCUGAUUGGUAGGCUCUCUAAAAUAAGAAGGUGUCCGUUUGAGUCCAGCAACUCUUGCAACUCAAGAGCUCAAAAUCCAUGUCACAUUCAUGGAUUGAAGGAAGACCUCCAGUUAUUACGAAGACAUGUUCUGAGAAGAUCACAUUUGAUAUAAAGCUUGAGAAGUUUGACGCGGUGGCAAAGAUCAAAAUCAUAAAGGAGGCUAGGACUUUCACUGUUUGGAAGUAUAGGACUCUAAAGACUUGGUGGAAAAGGCUGAUGUUGUGCUGAAGAAGGGUGUAACCAAAGAGGUGGCAGGGUUAUUGUUGACAAGCUCAAGGAGUUGGGUGCUAUAUUGCUAUGUGGUAUUGAAAUGAAAUCAAUUGUCUUUUCUUUUACUCUUUUUUUUUUCUAGGUUCAUGUAGAAUAGUGAUCGAUAAGUCUAAUGAUAAAUGGAGAGAUUCUUUAU